UGGGUUGAUCCUGCCGGUAGUCAUAUGCUUGUCUCAAAGAUUAAGUCAUGCGUGUCUAAGUACAGGCCGUACUAAGUCGAAACCGCGAAUGGCUCAUUAAAGCAGUUAUGGUUUUUUGGGUCGUACCUUACUACUUGGAUAACUGUGGCAAUUCUAGAGCUAAUACAUGCAGCAGAGCUCCCUUCUAAGGAAGAGCACCUUACCACUUGGAUAACUGUGGCAGUUCUAGAGCUCUGACCCUCUGGGGACGAACGCUUUUAUUAGACCAAAACCGAUCCGACCUCGUAUCCGUAUUAUGUGGUGACGUAACUUUGCGCUGAUCGCACAGGCUCGUCCUGGCGACGUAUCUUUCAAGUGUCUGCCUUAUCAACUGCCGAUGGUAGAUUACACGCCUUCCAUGGUCGCAACGGGUGACAAGUAAUCAGAGUUAGAUUCCUGGGAGAGGGAGCCUAAGAACCGGCUACCACAUCAAAGGAAGGCUCCAAGCGCGCGAAAUUGUGCAUCGGAAAUUCUAAAGAUAUGCUCAUUUUAAAAUUGUUUUGCGAUAUUGCUGUUGAAUUGAAUUUUAUGGUUUAAGUGCGAAGAACAUGAU
rnacentral:ncRNA from 1 species